AUGCUGGCAAUGCUUUGCCGUCCCGAAGCAGAGAGGGCGACCCAGACGCGGGCCGUGCCUCCCGCUGCCCUUUGGACUCGAGAGGCGCUGCCGACCCCCGCCGCCGGCCGGGCAGGGACCGGGGGGCACCGCUCCGCAUCCCCUCGUCCCGGCGCCGCUCCGCAUCCCCCCGGCCCGCCGGAUCCCGAGCCCGGGGCACCCCCCCCCCGUCCCGCCGGGGGUCGCGGGGCUUUACCUUGCCUCCCGCCCCGCCGAGGCACAGCGCCGCGGCCGCCGCCAGGACCAGCCCCGCACCGGGGAAGCUCCGGACCAUGGUGCGGGGAGCCGAGCCGAGCCGAGCCGUGCCGGGCUUUGCGGAGCCGUGCCCUGAGCCGUGCCGUGCUGAGCAGUGCCGUGCCCCGGGCGGGCUCCUCUGACAGCGACCCCCUCCCUCCCCCGGCCUCCCCGCCCCUCGCCCCCUCCCCCGGCCGCUCCCGGCCCCUGCCCUCCCCCGGGGGGCACCCGCGUUGCGGGGCCGGGCAGGGAGCGGGGGUGGCCGCUGCGAGCCCCCCGCUCCCCGGGGGGGUGCCCGGCGUUUUUUGUCCUCGCCGGGUGUGGAAACGGCCGGGGCUGGAGGCGGCCCGGCCCCUGCGGGCAGCCUCCCCCAGCGGCCUCCCGGGGAAAAGUGCCUCCCGCCGCCGGGGGGGAGACGAGGGGCAAAGUGCGCCCCGCCGGCCCCCGGAGCACGGGCUGGAAUGAUCAGGGGAAGGGGAGAAGGGAGAAAGGCCCUUUCCAAGGGGGGAAAAUCCCUUUCCAAGGAGGAAAGGGAAGGACCGCUGCCAGGCACCCUAAGGAGCCCCUCGGCCUUUCUGGAGAUCAUGGCAGGGCAGGGGAGGCUCCCCGUUCCCGUGACAUUUUGUGGUUUUCCAGGUCAGAACCUCUCCUGUACCCUUUCCAGUAACAGACACGCUGCAGUGAGCGUCAGCCAGCCCUACAGCCCCAGCAACCAGAACAUCUUCUGUCCGUGCAGGUGACAGCGAGCACACGUUGCUAGCUUCAGUUAUUCCUGUGCUCUGUAGAAGGAGUUGCAAUAGUUUAUUUUAAAUGUAAAAGUUUUGGUGAAAAGACUGCAGUUUUAUGCUUGGAGCUGCUUUUUUGUGGCUCGGUGACACAGACACUCCCCGGUAAGCAGCACAUGGAGCCCUCAGAGGCUCCAGCUGCCUGGUGUGUGCGGGGACGCUGCCAGCCCAGGUUGUGGCAGGGUUUGUCAUGCCUUCCCCAGAAAAUUCCCAUGCUGGCCCUAUUGGACGAAUGACACUGUCAUGGCAAGUCCUGAAUUCCUCCUUCCUAACAGGCAGGGAUUCACACGGCUUUCAGAGGACAGUGUCAUCAGUGGAAAAUCCCUGGAUAACACCUUCUGCUGGGGUCCAAGCAGGUGCAUGUAGUGAGCAUGAAAUUGGAGGACUGACACCUGAGAAAACCAAGGGAUUUUUGUCAUAAAUAUAUGGAUGUACUUUGUAUUUGACUUUCCGUAUUGUUCUCUUCAUCGUGUAAAUUGGAAGUAAUGUCUUGAAUUUAUACUUUUUAGUGAAAGCGUGAGAGGCUGUGCGCAGGCACUGAGGCAGCAGUCUCACACUGACUGCGCGCUGACACUGAGCUCAUCUGGAAUCCUGGGCUACUCGCCACAGGUUUGACACCCUUUGUGUAAAAAUAAUGCUCAACUUCC
ensembl:lncRNA